GGAGAGCUCAGUGGUUGGGUGUGGGCUUAGCGUGCACAAGGCCCGGGUUCAAGUCCCAGCACCA
rnacentral:tRNA from 1 species